GGCUCAGUGGAGGAGCCUCUGCCAUGCAAGCAGGAAGCCACAGGUUCAAUCCCUGCCAUCUCCA